rnacentral:rRNA from 1 species
CAGGACGAACGCUGGCGGCGCGCCUAACACAUGCAAGUCGAACGAGCGAGAGAGAGCUUGCUUUCUCGAGCGAGUGGCGAACGGGUGAGUAACGCGUGAGGAACCUGCCUCAAAGAGGGGGACAACAGUUGGAAACGACUGCUAAUACCGCAUAAGCCCACGGGUCGGCAUCGACCAGAGGGAAAAGGAGCAAUCCGCUUUGAGAUGGCCUCGCGUCCGAUUAGCUGGUUGGUGAGGUAACGGCCCACCAAGGCGACGAUCGGUAGCCGGACUGAGAGGUUGAACGGCCACAUUGGGACUGAGACACGGCCCAGACUCCUACGGGAGGCAGCAGUGGGGAAUAUUGCACAAUGGGGGAAACCCUGAUGCAGCGACGCCGCGUGGAGGAAGAAGGUCUUCGGAUUGUAAACUCCUGUUGUUGAGGAAGAUAAUGACGGUACUCAACAAGGAAGUGACGGCUAACUACGUGCCAGCAGCCGCGGUAAAACGUAGGUCACAAGCGUUGUCCGGAAUUACUGGGUGUAAAGGGAGCGCAGGCGGGAAGACAAGUUGGAAGUGAAAUCCAUGGGCUCAACCCAUGAACUGCUUUCAAAACUGUUUUUCUUGAGUAGUGCAGAGGUAGGCGGAAUUCCCGGUGUAGCGGUGGAAUGCGUAGAUAUCGGGAGGAACACCAGUGGCGAAGGCGGCCUACUGGGCACCAACUGACGCUGAGGCUCGAAAGUGUGGGUAGCAAACAGGAUUAGAUACCCUGGUAGUCCACACCGUAAACGAUGAUUACUAGGUGUUGGAGGAUUGACCCCUUCAGUGCCGCAGUUAACACAAUAAGUAAUCCACCUGGGGAGUACGACCGCAAGGUUGAAACUCAAAGGAAUUGACGG